UUGAUGUUUCUUUCUUUUUUUUAUAAGGAGAUAAAUGAAAUAAAAGAGAGAAGCCAAAAAGAAAAAAAAAAUUGGCUUCAAUCUUUAUUAAUUUUAUUUUGAAUGGCUAGCAACUCACAUUUUUGUUACUUGCUUCUUAUCCUUUUCGUGACGGAAAAUUGAAGAAUUUGAGUGAAUAAAAUUGCAAUGGAAGUUCAUGACCAAAGGUGUGUUCGAAAAAGGAAUCAAGGGGUGUCUUCAUAUUAUUACUUAGAACAAUCGCCAAUAACACAUCUGGUGCGUUUACUUCAUGGAAUGGGAAUGAGAUGGAAUGUGAAUGGACUGUGAAUGAGAAUGAACUGGAAUGGGAAUGAAAUUUCAAUGUUUACUUGACAAAAAUAAAUGGGAAUGAGAAUGUACUGGAAUGACAUUAAUGUGUUUACUUGGCAAAAUAAAUGGAAUAAGGAAUGAAAAUGAGAAUCAAUUUACCAAAAUACUCA
rnacentral:lncRNA from 1 species